rnacentral:tRNA from 1 species
GAGCCGCGUGGCAUAGUGAUUAAGUGCUUGCACUGCCAAUCACAUGGUCAGGAGUUCGAGCCCCCUGUGGGUCA